GCCCAGCUAGCUUAGUCGGCAGAGCCUGAGAUUCUCAGUCUCAGGGUUGUGGGUUCGAACCCCACGUUAGGUG
rnacentral:tRNA from 1 species